AUUGAACGCUGGCGGCAGGCCUAACACAUGCAAGUCGAGCGGAUGAAGGGAGCUUGCUCCUGGAUUCAGCGGCGGACGGGUGAGUAAUGCCUAGGAAUCUGCCUGGUAGUGGGGGAUAACGUCCGGAAACGGGCGCUAAUACCGCAUACGUCCUGAGGGUGAAAGUGGGGGUUCUUCGGACCUCACGCUAUCAGAUGAGCCUAGGUCGGAUUAGCUAGUUGGUGGGGUAAAGGCCUACCAAGGCGACGAUCCGUAACUGGUCUGAGAGGAUGAUCAGUCACACUGGAACUGAGACACGGUCCAGACUCCUACGGGAGGCAGCAGUGGGGAAUAUUGGACAAUGGGCGAAAGCCUGAUCCAGCCAUGCCGCGUGUGUGAAAAAGGUCUUCGGAUUGUAAAGCACUUUAAGUUGGGAGGAAGGGCAGUAAGUUAAUACCUUGCUGUUUUGACGUUACCAACAGAAUAAGCACCGGCUAACUUCGUG
rnacentral:rRNA from 1 species